UACGUAGGUGGCAAGCGUUGUCCGGAUUUACUGGGCGUAAAGAGCGCGCAGGCGGUCGUUCAAGUCGCGUGUGAAAGCCCCCGGCUUAACCGGGGAGAGUCGUUGGGGACGGCGGGGCUUGAGGGCGGGAGAGGUCGGUGGAAUUCCCGGUGUAGUGGUGAAAUGCGUAGAGAUCGGGAGGAACACCUGUGGCGAAGGCGGCCGACUGGGCCGACCCUGACGCUGAGGCGCGAAGGCGUGGGGAGCGAACGGG
rnacentral:rRNA from 1 species